rnacentral:lncRNA from 1 species
CAUAUAUAACUGAAAAGGUACAAAAUUGUGUUGACAAAGUCUAGUAACUAAUGAUUGCCUGAUUUAAUAGUAAAUUAUAUUUAAUGUUUUAUUCCUGUUUCUUCCCCAAUCCUAUACUCUUUCUCCCCAAAGAUCAGUUUUUUCUGUUCUUCAGGUACACAAUGAAAUAUGGCCACCCUGAGCUUGUAUCUUACAGUUCCAGUCAAAUGGACAGAUUGGCCUUUUUGACUCCAAUUCCAGAUUCCUAGGAGAAAGGAUAUUGGCUCAGCUUUGCUCAUGAUUUCAGCUCUGGUCCAUAGAAGAAAGAGAUAUGUGAUAACUACAUAUUUAUACUAUCAAAGCAAAAACUUGGUC